UGGGAACAAUGUUAACACAUGGGUCAUGACUUAAAUAGGUAUCAUAACUUCGAAUCUAUUAGAACCAUUAUUAUCGAAUGCAUCAAUCUCUCCGACUAUGGUCGAGACAGAGGGAGGGAGGCAUGUAGGCUCCAAUGAAGCGUAUGGUUGUACUUAGAGAACUUGGUCACAAUGAAGUGACUUUUAAAAAUAAACAGUGGAGUGCUCAUCAAUAAAAUUGUAGACAUCAGGUUUUUUCUCAUGAUAAAAAUACACGCAAUCAUUCAUACACAAAUCUCAAUCUUGGAGGAUAAAAAAUAUGCUGAGCUAAUAGUCCACCGCAAAACUGGUUUGUUUUGGCCCUGAAAGCUUUUUGAGCACUAUUUAUUUUAAAAAAAGUACCCAGAUACUACCUGAAUGUCGGUCCCACAUCUUAUAUCUUGAGUAUAUUCAACCGUAGAACAUCCUUCAGAAUGUUAAAAAUUACCAGAAGAGUCCUAUAUCUGCUGAGUCUGUUUCUAUUGGUGACCAUUCCACCUACUUUUAGUGUCUGUUGUAAUAGUUAUACUUGGGCCCAGGACAUAGGGAAUAACUACUGCGAAGACGGCAGCUAUUGGAAUGCCAGUGUGCGGACCUGUUGCGGAAAAGGCGCCUGUAACAUUUUUUGCUGUAACUGCGAUGGUGGAUGUCUCGGCCAUAGAUGGGGACAUUGAACAUUUAUUCUUCCUCGUGGUAAUUAAACAAAAGAGUGGGAGGAAUAAUGAAAUAUGUACUUUAUGGCAUAUAUCAGAAUAAUUUAAAUGUGUAUUUCAGUCUCUAUAACGACUUUUUUUUUCAUAUGUAGCUAUGAGAAUUAUAUCUUACUCCAUAUUUUGCUUGCAAGCCAUAUGAAAGGAUCAGAGCUAGAGGGGCUUAAUUACAUUGCAACGUCGCAAAGUUUUGUUUGACAAUUCAUUAAUUCAAGCGAGAACAAUUGUGAUUUUUUUGAAAAACGAUCGUGAACAUUUUCAUUACGAUUCAACGUAAAUCCCUUGGUAUUUUCAAAAUAAAACAUGCAUCCAUAAUGAUA